rnacentral:lncRNA from 10 species
GUUCUUAUUAUUUUGAGAUAAUGUUCAAUAUCUAGUUUAUUGAGAGUUUUUAAUAUGAAGGGAUGUUGAAUUUUAUUGAAGGCCUUUUCUGCAUUGCAUCUAUUGAGAUAAUCAUGUGGUUUUUGUCAUUGGUUCUUUUUAUGUGAUGGAUUACGUUUAUUGAUUUGCAUAUUUUGAACCAGCCUUGCAUCCCAGAGAUGAAGCCUACUUGAUUGUGGUGGGUAAGCUUUUGACGUGCUGCUGGAUUUGGUUUCCCAGUAUUUUUAUUGAGGAUUUUUGCAUUGAUGUUCAUCAGGGAUAUUGGUCUGAAGUUUAUUUGUUGUUGUUGUUGUUGUGUCUCUGCCAGGUUUUGGUAUCAGGAUGAUGCUGGCCUCAUAAAAUGAGUUAGGGAAGAUUCCCUCCUUUUCAAUUGUUUGGAAUAGUUUCAGAGGGAAUGGUACCAGCUCCUCUCUGUACCUCUGGUAGAAUUCAGCUGUGAAUCCAUCUGGCCCUGGGUUUUUUUUUAUUGGUAAGCUAUUAAUUACUGCCUCAAUUUCAGAACUUGUUAUUGGUCUAUUCAGGGAUUCGACUUCUUCCUGGUUUAGUCUUUGGAGGGUGUAUGUGUUCUGGAAUUUACCAAUUUCUUCUAGAUUUUCUAGUUUAUUGCGUAGAGGUGUUUAUAGUAUUCUCUGAUGGUAGUUGGUACUUAGCGGGGUCAGUGGUGAUAUCCUCUUUAUCAUUUUUUAUUGUGUCUAUUUGAUUCUUCUCUCUUUUCUUCUUUAUUAGUCUAGCUAGAGGUCGUCUAUUUUGUUAAUUUUUUUUUAAAAAACCAGCUCCUGGAUUCAUACAUUUUUUGAAGGCUUUUUCAUGUCUCUAAUCUCCUUCAGUUCUGCUCUGAUCUUAGUUAUUUCUUGUCUUCUGCUAGCUUUUGAAUGUGUUUUCUCUUGCUUCUCUAGUUCUUUUAAUUGUGAUGUUAGGGCAUCGAUUUGAGAUCUUUCUAGCUCUCUGACAUGGGGAUUCUGUGCUAUAAAUUUCCCUCUUAACACUGCUUUAGCUGUGUCCCAGAGAUUCUGAUACAUUUUCUCUUUGUUCUCAUUGGUUUCAAAGAACUUCUUGAUUUCUGCCUUAAUUUCUUUAUUUACCAGGAGUCAUUCAGGAGCAGGUUGUUCAAUUUCCAGGUAGUUGUGUGGUUAUGAGUGAGUUUCUUAAUCCUGAGUUCCAAUUUGAUUGCACUGUGAUCUGAGAGACUGUUUGUUAUGAUUUCAGUUAUUUUACAUUUGCUGAGGAGUGUUUUACUUCCAAUUAUGUGGUCAAUUUUAGAGUAAGUGACAUGUGGCACUGAGAAGAAUGUAUAUUCUGUUGAUUUGGGGUGGAGAGUUCUGUAGACGUCUAUUAGGUCCAACUUGAUCCAGAGCUGAGUUCAAGUUCUGAAUAUCCUUAUUAAUUUUCUGUCUCGUUGGUCUGUCUGAUAUUGACAGUGGGUGUUAAAGUUUCCCACUAUUAUUGUGUGGGAGUCUAAGUCUCUUUGUAGGUCUCUGAGAACUUGUUUUAUGAAUCUGGGUGCUCCUGUAGUGGGUGCAUAUAUAUUUAGCAUAGUUAGCUCUUCUUGUUGAAUUGAUCCCUUUACCAUUAUGCAAUACCCUUCUUUGUCUUUUUUGAUCUUUGUUGGUUUAAAGUCUGUUUUGUCAGAGACUAAAAUUGCAACCCCUGCCUUUUUUUUUCUUUCUUUUUAUUUUUUUGCUUUCCAUUUGCUUGGUAAAUUUUCCUCCAUCUCUUUAUUUUGAGCCUAUGUGUGUCUUUGCAUGUGAGAUGUGUCUCCUGAAUACAGCACACCAGUGGGUCUUGACUGUAUCCAAUUUGCCAGUCUGUGUCUUUUAAUUGGGGCUUUUAGCCUAUUUACAUUUAAGGUUAGUAUUGUUACGUGUGAGUUUGAUCCUGUCGUCAUGAUGCUAGCUGGUUAUUUUGCCCACUAGUUGGUGCAGUUUCUUCAUAGUGUCAUUGGUCUUUAUAUUUUGGUGUUUUUGCAGUGGCUGGUACUGGUUUUACCUUUCCAUAUUUAGUGCUUCCUUCAGGAGCUCUUGCAAGGCAGGCCUGGGGUGAUGAAAUCCCUCAGCAUUUGCUUUUCUGAAAAUGAUUUUAUUUCUCCUUCGCUUAUGAAGCUUAGUUUGGUUGGAUAUGAAGUUCUAGGUUGAAAAUUUUUUUCUUUCAGAAUGUUGAAUAUUGGCCCCCACUCUCUUCUGGCUUGUAGGGUUUCUAUUGAGCGAUCCACUGUUAAUCUGAUGGGCUUCCCUUUGUAGGUGGCCUGCCUUUCUUUCUGGCUGCCCUUAAGAUUUUUUCCUUGAUUUUGACUUUGGAGAAUCUGACAAUUAUGUGUCUUGGGGUUGAUCUUCUCGUGGAGUAUCUUAAUGAUGUUCUCUGUAUUUCCUGAAUUUCAAUGUUGGCCUAUCUUGCUAGGUUGGGAGGUUCUCCUGGGUAAUAUCCUGAAGUGUGUUUUCCAACUUGGUUCCAUUCUCCCUGUUUCUU